CUUUGGGUUUUUGGGUUCCGGGGGGAGUAUGGUUGCAAAGCUGAAACUUAAAGGAAUUGAUGGAAGGGUACCACCAGGAGUGGACCCUGUGGCUUAAUUUGACUCAAAACUGGAAAUCUCACUUUAAAGAGAGAGUACAAGAGGGCAUGAAAUGGUUAAGAGGUAAACGGGUCAGUGUCGUCCUCCCAGAGGAUUCAACCUGACGGGCCCAGGCCGGCCAAUGCUGGCACCCGCAGAUACGUCCGCCCUCCUGUCCCCCCUCUUGACCCCGGGUUAAGGUGCCCGAUUCCGACGCUCAUCAGACCCCAGAAAAGGUGUUGGUUGAUAUAGACACCAGGACAGUGGUCAUGAAAGUCGGAAUCCGCUAAGGAGUGUGUAACAAUUCACCUGCAAAUCAACUAGCCCUGAAAAUGGAUGGUGCUGGAACAUCGGGCCCAUACCCAGCCAUCAUCGACUGGGUAUGAAAGUCCAUGGGAGCUAGGCCGGGAUGGCUCUCCUACUCUGGGUGCAGAAGUCCGAGUGGAGCCACCGCAGGGGCAGAUUUUGGUGGUAGUAGAAAAUAUUCAAACGAGAACUAUGAAGGCCGAAGUGGAGAACUGCCAAGUAAACAGCAAUUGAACAUGGGUCAGUCAAUCCUAAGAGAUAGGCGAGCGUAGUUCGGAAGGGACGGAUGAUGGCCACCAUUACUCUCGACUGAUUGAAAGACAGUCGGGUUCAGAUUCCUAGACUCGGAGCAGUGGAGACGGACGCCCUCAUGGACGUCCAGUGCGGUAACAUGACCGAUCCAGGAGAAGCUGGUGGGAGCCCCGGGGAGAGAUCUCUUUUCUUUGUGAAGGGCAGGGUACCCUGGAAUGGGUUCGCCCCGAGAGAGAGGCCAGCAUCUUGGAAAGCAUCGCUGUUCUGGGAACGUCCGGUGAGCUCUCGCCAGCCCUUGAAAAUCCAUGGGAUAAGGUGUAAAUCAGGCACAGGCCGUUCCCAUAUCCGCAGUAGGUCUUCAAGGUGAACAGCCUCUGGCGUGUUAGAAAAAUGUAGGUAAGGGAAGUCAGCAGGUCAGAUCCAUAAAUUUGGCAAAAGGAUUGGCUUUUAGGACUGAGUUGGUUGGGCUGAGGCACAAAGCGGGGCUGUCGCUCUCUUCUCCCCUCUUUUGGAGGUGGAGGGGACCUGACCGGCACCCAGAGUUUGCUGUUUCCAAGUUGGAAGAUAGAACCAAGUC